rnacentral:rRNA from 1 species
AGCGUACACGGUGGAUGCCCUGGCAGUCAGAGGCGAUGAAGGACGUGCUAAUCUGCGAAAAGCGUCGGUAAGGUGAUAUGAACCGUUAUAACCGGCGAUGUCCGAAUGGGGAAACCCAGUGCAAUUCGUUGCACUAUCGUUAACUGAAUACAUAGGUUAACGAGGCGAACCGGGGGAACUGAAACAUCUAAGUACCCCGAGGAAAAGAAAUCAACCGAGAUUCCCCCAGUAGCGGCGAGCGAACGGGGAGCAGCCCAGAGUCUGAAUCAGCUUGUGUGUUAGUGGAACGGUCUGGAAAGUCCGACGGUACAGGGUGAUAGUCCCGUACACCAAAAUGCACAGGUUGUGAACUCGAAGAGUAGGGCGGGACACGUGGUAUCCUGUCUGAAUAUGGGGGGACCAUCCUCCAAGGCUAAAUACUCCUGACUGACCGAUAGUGAACCAGUACCGUGAGGGAAAGGCGAAAAGAACCCCGGCGAGGGGAGUGAAAAAGAACCUGAAACCGUGUACGUACAAGCAGUGGGAGCACCUUCGGGUGUGACUGCGUACCUUUUGUAUAAUGGGUCAGCGACUUAUAUUCUGUAGCAAGGUUAACCGUAUAGGGGAGCCGCAGGGAAACCGAGUCUUAACUGGGCGUUAAGUUGCAGGGUAUAGACCCGAAACCCGGUGAUCUAGCCAUGGGCAGGUUGAAGGUUGGGUAACACUAACUGGAGGACCGAACCGACUAAUGUUGAAAAAUUAGCGGAUGACUUGUGGCUGGGGGUGAAAGGCCAAUCAAACCGGGAGAUAGCUGGUUCUCCCCGAAAGCUAUUUAGGUAGCGCCUCGUGAAUUCAUCUUCGGGGGUAGAGCACUGUUUCGGCUAGGGGGUCAUCCCGACUUACCAACCCGAUGCAAACUACGAAUACCGAAGAAUGUUAUCACGGGAGACACACGGCGGGUGCUAACGUCCGUCGUGAAGAGGGAAACAACCCAGACCGCCAGCUAAGGUCCCAAAGUCAUGGUUAAGUGGGAAACGAUGUGGGAAGGCACAGACAGCCAGGAUGUUGGCUUAGAAGCAGCCAUCAUUUAAAGAAAGCGUAAUAGCUCACUGGUCGAGUCGGCCUGCGCGGAAGAUGUAACGGGGCUAAACCAUGCACCGAAGCUGCGGCAGCGACACUAUGUGUUGUUGGGUAGGGGAGCGUUCUGUAAGCCUGCGAAGGUGUGCUGUGAGGCAUGCUGGAGGUAUCAGAAGUGCGAAUGCUGACAUAAGUAACGAUAAAGCGGGUGAAAAGCCCGCUCGCCGGAAGACCAAGGGUUCCUGUCCAACGUUAAUCGGGGCAGGGUGAGUCGACCCCUAAGGCGAGGCCGAAAGGCGUAGUCGAUGGGAAACAGGUUAAUAUUCCUGUACUUGGUGUUACUGCGAAGGGGGGACGGAGAAGGCUAUGUUAGCCGGGCGACGGUUGUCCCGGUUUAAGCAUGUAGGCUGGUUGUCCAGGCAAAUCCGGAUAAUCAAGGCUGAGGUGUGAUGACGAGGCACUACGGUGCUGAAGUAACAAAUGCCCUGCUUCCAGGAAAAGCCUCUAAGCAUCAGGUAACAUCAAAUCGUACCCCAAACCGACACAGGUGGUCAGGUAGAGAAUACCAAGGCGCUUGAGAGAACUCGGGUGAAGGAACUAGGCAAAAUGGUGCCGUAACUUCGGGAGAAGGCACGCUGGUGUGUAGGUGAAGCCCCUGCGGGUGGAGCUGAGACCAGUCGAAGAUACCAGCUGGCUGCAACUGUUUAUUAAAAACACAGCACUGUGCAAACACGAAAGUGGACGUAUACGGUGUGACGCCUGCCCGGUGCCGGAAGGUUAAUUGAUGGGGUUAUCCGUAAGGAGAAGCUCUUGAUCGAAGCCCCGGUAAACGGCGGCCGUAACUAUAACGGUCCUAAGGUAGCGAAAUUCCUUGUCGGGUAAGUUCCGACCUGCACGAAUGGCGUAAUGAUGGCCAGGCUGUCUCCACCCGAGACUCAGUGAAAUUGAACUCGCUGUGAAGAUGCAGUGUACCCGCGGCAAGACGGAAAGACCCCGUGAACCUUUACUAUAGCUUGACACUGAACAUUGAGCCUUGAUGUGUAGGAUAGGUGGGAGGCUUUGAAGCGUGGACGCCAGUCUGCGUGGAGCCAACCUUGAAAUACCACCCUUUAAUGUUUGAUGUUCUAACGUUGGCCCCUGACCGGGGUUGCGGACAGUGUCUGGUGGGUAGUUUGACUGGGGCGGUCUCCUCCUAAAGCGUAACGGAGGAGCACGAAGGUUAGCUAAUCCUGGUCGGACAUCAGGAGGUUAGUGCAAUGGCAUAAGCUAGCUUGACUGCGAGCGUGACGGCGCGAGCAGGUGCGAAAGCAGGUCAUAGUGAUCCGGUGGUUCUGAAUGGAAGGGCCAUCGCUCAACGGAUAAAAGGUACUCCGGGGAUAACAGGCUGAUACCGCCCAAGAGUUCAUAUCGACGGCGGUGUUUGGCACCUCGAUGUCGGCUCAUCACAUCCUGGGGCUGAAGUAGGUCCCAAGGGUAUGGCUGUUCGCCAUUUAAAGUGGUACGCGAGCUGGGUUUAGAACGUCGUGAGACAGUUCGGUCCCUAUCUGCCGUGGGCGCUGGAGAAUUGAGGGGGGCUGCUCCUAGUACGAGAGGACCGGAGUGGACGCAUCACUGGUGUUCGGGUUGUCAUGCCAAUGGCACUGCCCGGUAGCUAAAUGCGGAAGAGAUAAGUGCUGAAAGCAUCUAAGCACGAAACUUGCCCCGAGAUGAGUUCU